GUGGGGAAUUUUGGACAAUGGGCGCAAGCCUGAUCCAGCAAUGCCGCGUGCAGGAAGAAGGCCUUCGGGUUGUAAACUGCUUUUGUACGGAACGAAACGGUCCGGGUUAAUACCCUGGGCUAAUGACGGUACCGUAAGAAUAAGCACCGGCUAACUACGUGCCAGCAGCCGCGGUAAUACGUAGGGUGCAAGCGUUAAUCGGAAUUACUGGGCGUAAAGCGUGCGCAGGCGGUUUUGUAAGACAGGCGUGAAAUCCCCGGGCUCAACCUGGGAAUUGCGCUUGUGACUGCGAGGCUGGAGUGCGGCAGAGGGGGAUGGAAUUCCGCGUGUAGCAGUGAAAUGCGUAGAUAUGCGGAGGAACACCGAUGGCGAAGGCAAUCCCCUGGGCCCGCACUGACGCUCAUGCACGAAAGCGUGGGGAGCAAACAGGAUUAGAAACCCCGGUAGUCC
rnacentral:rRNA from 1 species